GAUUAACGCUGGCGGCGUGCAUAACACAUGCAAGUCGAACGAUGAAGCUUAAAUGAUUUCUUCGGAAUGAACUUAAGUGAAUUAGUGGCGAACGGGUGAGUAACGCGUGAGUAACCUGCCUUACACAAGGGGAUAGCCUCUGGAAACGGAGAAUAAUACCCUAUGACAUUAAUACUUCGCAUGAAGCAUUAAUCAAAGUGUUAGCGGUGUAAGAUGGACUUGCGUCUGAUUAGCUAGUUGGUAAGGUAACAGCUUACCAAGGCAACGAUGCGUAGCCGACCUGAGAGGGUGAUCGGCCACACUGGAACUGAGACACGGUCCAGACUCCUACGGGAGGCAGCAGUAGGGAAUCUUCCGCAAUGGGCGAAAGCCUGACGGAGCAACGCCGCGUGAGUGAUGAAGGUCUUCGGAUCGUAAAACUCUGUUAUUAGGGAAGAACAAAUGUGUAAGUAACUAUGCACGUCUUGACGGUACCUAAUCAGAAAGCCACGGCUAACUACGUGCCAGCAGCCGCGGUAAUACGUAGGUGGCAAGCGUUAUCCGGAAUUAUUGGGCGUAAAGCGCGCGUAGGCGGUUUUUUAAGUCUGAUGUGAAAGCCCACGGCUCAACCGUGGAGGGUCAUUGGAAACUGGAAAACUUGAGUGCAGAAGAGGAAAGUGGAAUUCCAUGUGUAGCGGUGAAAUGCGCAGAGAUAUGGAGGAACACCAGUGGCGAAGGCGACUUUCUGGUCUGUAACUGACGCUGAUGUGCGAAAGCGUGGGGAUCAAACAGGAUUAGAUACCCUGGUAGUCCACGCCGUAAACGAUGAGUGCUAAGUGUUAGGGGGUUUCCGCCCCUUAGUGCUGCAGCUAACGCAUUAAGCACUCCGCUUGGGGAGUACGACCGCAAGGUUGAAACUCAAAGGAAUUGACGGGGACCCGCACAAGCGGUGGAGCAUGUGGUUUAAUUCGAAGCAACGCGAAGAACCUUACCAAAUCUUGACAUCCUCUGACCCCUCUAGAGAUAGAGUUUUCCCCUUCGGGGGACAGAGUGACAGGUGGUGCAUGGUUGUCGUCAGCUCGUGUCGUGAGAUGUUGGGUUAAGUCCCGCAACGAGCGCAACCCUUAAGCUUAGUUGCCAUCAUUAAGUUGGGCACUCUAAGUUGACUGCCGGUGACAAACCGGAGGAAGGUGGGGAUGACGUCAAAUCAUCAUGCCCCUUAUGAUUUGGGCUACACACGUGCUACAAUGGACAAUACAAAGGGUAGCGAAACCGCGAGGUCAAGCAAAUCCCAUAAAGUUGUUCUCAGUUCGGAUUGUAGUCUGCAACUCGACUAUAUGAAGCUGGAAUCGCUAGUAAUCGUAGAUCAGCAUGCUACGGUGAAUACGUUCCCGGGUCU
rnacentral:rRNA from 1 species